rnacentral:rRNA from 1 species
UACGUAGGGACCGAGCGUUGUCCGGAUUUAUUGGGCGUAAAGCGCGCGUAGGCGGCCGUCCACGUCGAAUGUGAAAGCUCGGAGCUCAACUCUGAGAGGCCAUUCGAUACGGGACGGCUUGAGUCAGCUAGGGGAGAGCGGAAUUCCUGGUGUAGCGGUGAAAUGCGCAGAUAUCAGGAGGAACACCGGUGGCGAAGGCGGCUCUCUGGGGCUGUUCUGACGCUGAGGCGCGAAAGCGUGGGGAGCAAACAGG